CAAAGAUCAAGGUCUCAGAUUUUCCAUGACAUUGGUACGGGGCGGGGGCACCAUGCCUAUCUGGCACAGUCCCCAUCCCCAAUGCCCUCUGGGAAGCAGGAAACUGCCAUCUGGGCAUGGGCAGUGCCAGUUAGCAUGACACCUCCCUUGGGUCAGCCUGGGUAGGAGGCGUGCUCACUGCCAGGCCAGAGCCUCCUAUGCUCAGGGUCCCUUAAGGCCUAAUUCCUCCCAACUCUGAGAUCAGACAGCCUCAGAGGCCAAGUGCUGGGAGGCAAGGAGCUCACCCCGAAGACCCCAGACCCUCAGCACUCUGAAGAAGUCACGGUACUCACAAAGCAAUACCCUUGGGAGCCUAGAAAAUCAACAAUGCUGAAGGGAGGCACCAGCCUGGCCAUGAAGAUGGUCUCCUCCUUUCUAGGGCACUGGGAUUCCUGUCUCCACUGCUAUGGAUGGCCCAGGGUUUCCUGUGGAUUCUUAUUUGAGCAAGGGACCACUCCAGGACAUCAGCCAAUCCAAACUAUGACCCUGCUUCCACCAUUUACUUGGAGGCUGGCCUUGGACUAGUUAUUUUAACCUUUCUAAGCCUCAGUUCCCUCAUCUGUAAGAUGGGAAUAAUAAGGCCAUUGUAAAACUCAAAAGCUGAUAAUAUCUAAGGAACUCUAAAUGCUUCGGAAGAUAAACAAGGAAAUUACGAUUA